rnacentral:lncRNA from 1 species
UUUUUGUUACCAAACUAGCAAUUAACGUUCAAAAUUACAAAAAUAUGUUUCACUAAAAAGGUAAAUAUAAACUCAUAUUCUUUGGGUUAAUUAAUCCAAAUCUUAAGGUUUAGAGUUAAGGGAUAGAAUUUUGGAAUUAGGAUUUAAGAUUUUAUAAAAUAAAAAAUAAAUACUAAAAAAAUAAAAAUUUAAAAAUAAAAUUUUUGAAUUAUAAAAAGAAAAUUUAGAAAAAAACAAAAAAAUUUCGAAAAAAAGAAUUUCAAAAGAAAAAUUAUAAAUAAUUUCGAAUCUGAAAACAUAUAAUCUGAAGCUAUAAAAAAAUUUAUUUUUUCCAUUUUUUAUUUUUAUUUUAUUUGUUUUUAUUUAUUUUUGUUUGUUUAUUUAAUUUUAAACUAAGGGUAUUAGAGAUAUUUUACCCUUUAAUAAAUGUUAUUUUU